GGACUACUGGGGUAUCUAAUCCUGUUUGCUCCCCACGCUUUCGCACCUCAGCGUCAGUACCGGGCCAGUGAGCCGCCUUCGCCACUGGUGUUCUUCCGAAUAUCUACGAAUUUCACCUCUACACUCGGAGUUCCACUCACCUCUCCCGGACUCCAAGAUCGCCAGUAUCGAAGGCAGUUCUGGAGUUGAGCUCCAGGAUUUCACCUCCGACUUAACGAUCCGCCUACGUGCGCUUUACGCCCAGUGAUUCCGAGCAACGCUAGCCCCCUUCGUAUUACCGCGGCUGCUGGCAC
rnacentral:rRNA from 1 species